UACGGAGGGUGCGAGCGUUAAUCGGAAUUACUGGGCGUAAAGCGUGCGUAGGCGGCUAUGUAAGUCGGAUGUGAAAGCCCCGGGCUUAACCUGGGAAUUGCACCCGAUACUGCAUAGCUAGAGUUUGGUAGAGGUAAGUGGAAUUCCAGGUGUAGCGGUGAAAUGCGUAGAUAUCUGGAGGAACACCAGUGGCGCCGGCGGCUUACUGGACCAAAACUGACGCUGAGGUACGAAAGCGUGGGUAGCAAACAGG
rnacentral:misc_RNA from 1 species